AUUGAACGCUGGCGGCAGGCCUAACACAUGCAAGUCGAACGAGUGGCGGACGGGUGAGUAAUGUCUGGGAAACUGCCUGAUGGAGGGGGAUAACUACUGGAAACGGUAGCUAAUACCGCAUACCAUCAGCUGUGCCCAGAUGGGAUUAGCUAGUAGGUGGGGUAAAGGCUCACCUAGGCGCCGAUCCCUAGCUGGUCGGAGAGGAGGACCAGGCACACAGGACCUUAGGCACGAUCCUGAGUCCUACGGGAGGCAGCAGUGGGGAAUAUUCAACAAUGGGCGCAAGCCUGAUGUAGCCAUGCCGCGUAGAGGAAGAAGGCCUUCGGGUUUUAAAGUACUUUCAGCGGGGAGGCGUUACCCGCAGAAGAAGCACCUGCUAGCUCCGUGCCAGCAUCCGCGGUAAUUC
rnacentral:rRNA from 1 species